rnacentral:rRNA from 1 species
GAUGAACGCUGACAGAAUGCUUAACACAUGCAAGUCGAUGGGGAAAUGGUGCUUGCCCCCUGGUCACCAUGGCGGACGGGUGAGUAACACGUAAGGAACUUACCUGCUGGACCGGGAUAACAGCAGGAAACUGCUGACAAGACCGGAUAAGGUCAUUAAGCUGCAUAGCUUAGUGAUGAAAGGAGACGCCUGCGGAGAGCCUUGCGUCCUAUUAGCUAGUUGGAGGGGUAACGGCCCACCAAGGCGAAGAUAGGUAGCCGGCCUGAGAGGGUGGACGGCCACCAGGGGACUGAGAUACGGCCCUUACUCCUACGGGCGGCAGCAGUGGGGAAUAUUGGACGAUGGGGGCAACCCUGCUCCAGCAAUUGUGUGUGCACGAAGACGGUUUUCGGAUUGUAAAGUGCUUUCAGCAGGGAAGAAGGAAGUGACGGUACCUGCAGAAGAAGCGACGGCUAAAUACGUG